rnacentral:sRNA from 1 species
AUUUGUUGCGGCGAAAUAAAAUGAAUAUGCGUAUCCAAACCACCUGCUGUUACAAUCAAAUUUUCUCCCGCCAGGGCUUCUGUUGAAGCCCCCACUGUCAUUCCAGGAGUCACUCCAUCCAUAAUUGCAGGAUUUCCUGCCUUUCCAAUUCCCUGAAUGACUCCAUUUUUAAUUCCGAUAUCUGCUUUAUAAAUACCGGUAUAAUCAACGAUCAGUGCAUUCGUAAUUACAAGAUCUAGAUCUCCGUCUGCACUUGUCGUUGUUACUGACUGCCCCAUUCCAUCACG